UCUCCGUAGGUGAACCUGCGGAGGGAUCAUUACAGAGACUCUGCCCCUUGGGUAGACCUCCCACCCUGUGUCGUUAUACCUUUGUUGCUUUGGCGGGCCGCGGGGCUUCGGCCCUGCCCCUGGCUCCGGCUAGGGCGCGCCCGCCAGAGGACCUCAAAACCUGAAUGUCAGUGUCGUCUGAGUACUAUAUAAUAGUUAAAACUUUCAACAACGGAUCUCUUGGUUCUG
rnacentral:misc_RNA from 1 species